rnacentral:rRNA from 2 species
AGUCGAGCGACUGAUUAGAAGCUUGCUUCUAUGACGUUAGCGGCGGACGGGUGAGUAACACGUGGGCAACCUGCCUGUAAGACUGGGAUAACUUCGGGAAACCGAAGCUAAUACCGGAUAGGAUCUUCUCCUUCAUGGGAGAUGAUUGAAAGAUGGUUUCGGCUAUCACUUACAGAUGGGCCCGCGGUGCAUUAGCUAGUUGGUGAGGUAACGGCUCACCAAGGCAACGAUGCAUAGCCGACCUGAGAGGGUGAUCGGCCACACUGGGACUGAGACACGGCCCAGACUCCUACGGGAGGCAGCAGUAGGGAAUCUUCCGCAAUGGACGAAAGUCUGACGGAGCAACGCCGCGUGAGUGAUGAAGGCUUUCGGGUCGUAAAACUCUGUUGUUAGGGAAGAACAAGUACRAGAGUAACUGCUCGUACCUUGACGGUACCUAACCAGAAAGCCACGGCUAACUACGUGCCAGCAGCCGCGGUAAUACGUAGGUGGCAAGCGUUAUCCGGAAUUAUUGGGCGUAAAGCGCGCGCAGGCGGUUUCUUAAGUCUGAUGUGAAAGCCCACGGCUCAACCGUGGAGGGUCAUUGGAAACUGGGGAACUUGAGUGCAGAAGAGAAAAGCGGAAUUCCACGUGUAGCGGUGAAAUGCGUAGAGAUGUGGAGGAACACCAGUGGCGAAG